rnacentral:misc_RNA from 1 species
GACUAUUGCCUAUUCUUAAGCCCUAGAAAUGGCUAUUUGCCUAAAAAAAAAAAUUAUAAUUUACUCUUUGAUUAAGAAAAAAAAAUUAGAGUAAAAGCCUAACAUUUGACAAUUUGUGGGCUGUGCUUUCAGACCGUUCAAUUGAAGUGCAAGCGGGAGUUGGAAAGAAGAGUCUGAUGAUUGGAUUUUGAUUCCUCCUCAGAUUAUUCUAAUUUCUUUUCUUUGUGCUAAAAUAUAUAUAAUUAUUUGUUAAAUUUCGUGAUCUCAGUUGUAAUUCCACUGUUUGAAAUCUUCUUAUCUGCCGAUCUGCUCGACUUCAUACCCAGUU